AUGUUAAACAUACACACACAUACCUGUUACACUGCAGGUGUUCAGUGCAUUAAGUGACUUCACUGGGAAUCUGUCUGGACUUUAGUUAGCAUGAAGUCAAAACCUGCUUUCAGGUGUGGCCUCAAAACGGGCUGAUACACAGUGGCUCAUUUCUGGAGCUUUCAAUUACCAGUUAUUCCUCACAUCUCCCUAUGUGCCAGGAACCAUUCUGGACCUGAAUGGCAUUGGUACAGGGUCUGUGUCCAGAGGUUGGAAUGGUUGCCUCACUGUUUAAGAUUCAGGAUCAGCCCCUCCAAGUCCUCUUCCUACUGGGGACCUUAAGGUUUCAGCGAGAGGGUGGUGGAGCAGGGUUAAGGGUGCCCUGAGGGUCACUGGCAAAUAGCCUUGCAAGUAGCUACAGGCCCAGGAGCCAUUCCAGCCUUGAGCCUGUGGGCUUGUGGGAAGGAAUACUGCUCUCAUUUUUCUUUGGCUUCUUUGACAUCCUGGGAGUGGGAGGGGAGGAAAGGAAGAAGGUGAGUUCAGCCAGCAGCCAAGGGAGCUGUUUGCACCUCCCACCACUCUGUCCCUCCCCAGACAUGAUGGAGUCCUGUCUGGACUUGGCCAAACAGGGGAACAGAGACUUGCUUGAGAGAAAGGGGCGGGAUGGAAGACAAGUCCACAGAACUUGCUUUUCCCAGAUGUCUCAGUGCACCCAAGUGGCCUCCUUCCUCCAAAUCCUAAAUAAUCCAGCCUAGAGCCCUGGAGAGGAACUUCCCAAUGGGGAGGGAAGCCGAAGUAAUCUCCUGGGGGUAGUGAUUUGUGGGGAAGGAUGCUUACUCACCCCAGCCCUCUCCUGGCAAAAAGAAGUGUGGGACAGAGUGACCGCCACAGAAAUCUGCCUCCUGAUGACAGUCUUGUGAAAAACUCCCACCUUGGACACCUUCCCCUCCCAUCCCCAUCAGACCCCAGGCCCUUCUCCUCCAUCAAAUCUGUUCCACCCCAUGAGGCAGAUGUGGUAGGACUAGGGAUAGUCUGAGUUGGGACCACCGUCCUUCUUUCUUUUCAAAGCUUACCCAUCCUAUUAGAAGGGCCCUGGGAAUUUGGGCAGCAAAAUGAGAGUGCUGGUCCCACAUGCCCUUGCUCUCUGCCCCAUCUCCCCUUCUCCUCCAAGAUCAUCGGAUUUCCUGAAGAUUCCAAAUCUUUUGUCCAGCUCUGCCACACAGCAAAACGUGUCACACCCCUGCAGAAACCUUCCAGUAGUUUUCAAUCAUUCUUGGAAGAAAAUCCAAACUGUUCCCUUUGUCUAAAAUGCCCUUCUCUCAGAUCUUGGCACGGUGGGCUCCUUGCCAGUCUGGAUUCUGUACAAAUGUCACCACGUCUUCAGGAACCCUUUCCCUGACAACCUAGAGAUCAGGAAAGACCCACCGUCUUGGCCAUCUUCUGCCUUUCACCAUGCUUUAUCUUUACCUAGUACUUAACAGUAUCUGAAAUUAUAUUUAUUUACCAGUGUACUUGCGAGGCAGCUGUGAAAUGCAUGGGAAGUGGUUUAAACUAACACUUCCUGGAUGUGUGACCUUGGGUGAAUCUGUUAACCUCUCUGAGCCUUGGUUUCCUCAUCUGUAAAAUGGGGAAAGCAGUUGUACCUGUAUCACAGGGUUGUCAUGAAGAUCCAGGAAGUGAUGCUCAGCACAGUAUAAGGACUCAAUAAAUGUAGGCUGUUAUUAUUAUGAUAACAGUUAAGAGUGACAGUGUAUGGUUACCAUCCCCAUGGCCCCAAACAGUACUGAAUAAAACAGAAACUAAACCUUUACCUAUUAUGUGGGAAGCACACUCCCACCAGCUGUCUUGUGGGCGCCAUGCCAUUUUGGAAAUGACCAAGAAUGCCAUGUGCAGCGAGUACCAGGAAGAGCACUUGACAGAGAGUCAAAAGCCAUUGGUUCUGGACUCAGUGUUGUUACCACUUCACCUCAGGACUUGGGCUGGUCACCUUUUUUCACUGGGCCUCAGGCUCUUCCAAGAAAAUAAUGGAUUGAAGCAACUGAUUGCUGUGCUCUCUGCCAGCUUCCAGGGGUUCUGCUUUGAGUCCUGUGCUCUCUUUAUCCACCACAUAGCCUUCAAGGUUGGGGAGACACGUGGUGCCUUCAACUUCCCUCAACCUUGUUUCCUAACAGGCCAAAGCUGCCGCGAAGAGAGUUGAACCCAGGGAAAACAUUCUUUGUUUAAACCUUUGAACCCAGAGACAAAAGUCUCAGCCCUGGACACCAGAUCUUCUUUUCACCCACAUCACUCUCCCUGCUUCACCCUCAUCUGCUGUCAUAUCUGAGCCCUGAGGAAGGAGAGCCAGCCCUCACUUCCCCUACAGGCAUGAAGGCUUUGGCCUCAGUUAUUCUCAGACAUGCAGACAGGGUGUGUGUGUAGCUGCAUGUACACAGAUGUGUGUGCCUGUAUGUACUUGCGGGUAUCUGUAGCUAUAUUUUCACUUGUUUCCAUUUUUCCCUCAGGAGCGGCAAGACUGAGAUUAACUGAAGGAGAAGAUUGUACAUCCCAGGGCUGAAAAUGCUGUCUGCCCCUUGCUGGAGCUGCCGAUCUGUCCCGUGGGGUCAUUCUGGGGUGCUGGGAAUGGCCUAAGGGCUUCACGGAGUGCUGGGGUUGACUUCUAGAGACAAGCAAAACCCUCAGAGGGCAGAUAAUUAGCAGUGCACAAGAGAUACAGCCAACUCAGAAAAACCCAUCCUUCCUAGCUGUGUGACCUUGAGCAACAGGUGCAUCUGCCAUCCUACACCGAAUUUGGCUUUCUACAGGACCAUGGAGGUCUUCAUAGAGCCUGGCCCAAGGGAUCUACUCUCUUCUGAUGGAUAGUGCUCUGUGACAUGACCUGAUGCUGCUCCUCAGUGGGACCUGUACCUGUUAACAAGUACAUGCUUACAUGUGUGUGUGUUGGGGGUCACCUCAUCGGCCAAAGCAUAACUACCCCUUGCAGGUGAGAGUGUCUUGUAAGCAAGAUGAGAUUUUCCUGGUGGGAUUUCUGGGGAGUACAGGACAAGUGGAUGAGCCCUAUGAACCAGGCAUGUUGAUCCUCCAAGCUGAUAUUAUAAGGGCUAUGAAGAGGACUCCCACCCACCCUCCCAGAACCACACUGGGCACCCUGCAGAUUUGAGGGUGGGCAGAGAAGAUCUGGAGAGGAUGGAUAUGGUCUCAGGAACAUCCAGCUCACUGCAUGGAUGCCUCCAGCGCCAAGUGGGGCAGAGAUGAUGCUGGGAGUGGAGUGAUAGAAGCUGGCCUAGGAUCUAGAGAAGAGGAAGAGAAGGAUAUGGAGAACCAGUCUCUUGGAAGUGGAGGAGGGGAGAGAUAUCUAGGCUGCAUUGGGUAAGGGGAACACCCUGAGCUGGGACCACUGGCCUGAAGGUAGAGAAGGAAGAGGAGAUUUUGAUCAGAUUGGGGAACCCUGGUCUUGGUGCCCAAUGUCCCAGCUUAGCUUCGGGCCAUGGUGGGGCUCUCUUGGAAUGAUGGCUUCCCAUUCCAGGGCUUCUCCUGUUCCUCCAUUUGACCUGUGCCCUGUGUUACCUCAGUUCCUUGCUCACUGGAUGACUCCCAAAGCACGGAGCUUGCUCCUGGCAGGAGAUCUGACCUGCUCCACCGCUCCAGCUCUCACUGCACCCACUUUAUGCUUCUAGGGUUUUCUCUUUUGCCAAGAAGCAGUUGAUCUCCAGCAUCCAUCCUCAGACCUGCCACUUUUAAGUUGCAUCAGGAUACUCGCUGCUUCCUGCGGCGCCUGGCACAUCUUUGGCGACAGCAGUGUGGAAGGCCUCUUUCUCUGCCAAGUUCACUUCCUGCUGGACUACCUGGUUCCUGCUUGUGGCCCCUCCAUCCCUCUAGCCUAGAACCAACCCAAUUCCAGAUCUUUGCUCAGCUCAUUGGUGCCAGAGCAACACGCCUUUCUUCAGCCUAGGAUGCAGAUAGGAAACGUGCUGGGCAUUUGGGGGUUUUCUUGGGUUAAGGACUGACACAGUGCAUGGCAGAGAGGAGCUUGUCAGGGGUAGGGUGGGGGCUGGGUCCUAAUUCCUAGGGCUCUGCUAGCAGCCCAGGUUUUGGUCUCCUAAAACUCAGUAUCUAAGGCCUCAGUUUCUUGAGCACGCUUCCUGGUUGCCAUGGUUGCCUGAUGCUUUGGACAUGAUCAGUGACCAGCUGUGUGGCCACUCCCUGGACCUUGAGAUGUUGGAGGCCGUUGGAUGGGCAUUGCUGGACAGAGACCCUCACCAUUAACUUCUUCACACAAGACUUCCCCUAAUGGCCCCUCCCUCUGUGCUGAUAUGGCCCCCAUCCCUUUCCCUACAUGGAGGGACCCCAGUGAGUCAUUCCUCUAUAAUGCCAACACCAGGCUUCCCUUCCCAGUGCCUCCAAUACACCACCUGUCUAUCUCCCGCGUCCCACUCUUCCUUCUCCUGUCUUUACCUGUUUCCCUUGGUAACUCUCUGGAGCCUGGGGAAGCCUUCUCAGGACAAGAUGGUCCUUCAUGACCAGAUCCUUCUCACCAAGGGGACUCCAAUCUCAGCCCCCCAAGGGAUGGGGAUGCUGCCAAGGUGAGAGUGUGGGUGAGAUCCUGGGGAACACGGUGACCCAAGCCCGAGGUGCUGCCCAGACUUUUCGCCCAACUGUAUUAGUUUUCUGGGGCUGCCAUAACAAGUUACCACACACUCAAUGCCUUAAAACAACAUAAAUUCAUUCUCUCAUGGUUCUGGAGGUCAGAAGUCUGAAGUUAGUUUCCCUGAGCCAAAAUCAAGGUGCAAGGAGAGCUGUGCUCCCUCCAGAGGCUCUGGAGGAGAAUCCAUUCUUUGCUUUCGUCCAGCCUCUGGUGGCCACUCUGAUCUCUCUCACAUUGUCUCCUCUUUGCUGCCUCCCUCUUUUAAGGAGACUUGGGAUUGGGCCUCAUGUCUCUGGGAGGUCAUUAUUCAGCCUCCUACACCACCUUUCACCCAAAUGCACACACUCACAGUUGUUGAUCGCUUGGUCUAGGAGCUGUGGAAAUCAGCCAGGAAAGGAGUUGAGAAGUAGGAGAGGGCCCAGGACUAGCCCUAGGCCAAAGGCUUAGUAGCUUCUGGGUGGGCCUACCUGGGAGUGGGAGGGGGGAGCAGCAAAGUCUGGGGGGAACUGCCACAUUUCUCCCCAAGUUGUACAUCCCAAAUAGUAUUUGCCCAAAGACCUCUUUCAUGCCACCUGCCCCACUUGCAGGUUGGGAAGCACUAGGGGUUAUGGGUAAGAGCCUGGGUAGUCAGGCCCUGGGGCCAAGGUAGGCUGAGGCAUCACCAUUUACCAGUUGUGGUUCUCAAAAUGUGGGCUAGGGCCAGCAGCAUUAACAUCAUCUGGGAGUUUAUUAGAAAUGCAAUUUCUUGGGGGGAACGCCUGGGUGGCU